UACGUAGGCAGCAAGCGUUGUUCGGAGUUACUGGGCGAAAAGGGUGCGUAGGCGGCUUUUUAAGUUGGGGGUGAAAUCUCCCGGCUCAACUGGGAGGGUGCGCCGAAUACUGAGAGGCUAGAGUGCGGGAGAGGAAAGUGGAAUUCCUGGUGUAGCGGUGAAAUGCGUAGAUAUCAGGAGGAACACCGGUGGUGUAAACGGCUUUCUGGACCGUAACUGACGCUGAUGCACGAAAGCGUGGGUAGCAAACAGG
rnacentral:rRNA from 1 species